UACGGAGGGUGCAAGCGUUGCUCGGAAUUAUUGGGCGUAAAGGGUAGGUAGGUGGUCUUAUUUGUCUGGGGUGAAAGCCUUGAGCUUAACUCAAGAAGUGCCCCAGAAACGGUAAGACUAGAGUCCUAGAGAGGGUCGUGGAAUUCCCGGUGUAGCGGUGAAAUGCGUAGAGAUCGGGAGGAACACCAGAGGCGAAGGCGGCGACCUGGAUAGGUACUGACACUCAACUACGAAAGCGUGGGGAGCAAACAGG
rnacentral:rRNA from 1 species